AGUUUUAUGUGCGUUAACAUUGAACUCAGCAAAGAGUUCCUUUUUAAUUGGUGAUGGUUUACAUUGACCCAAAUGCUUAAACCACGCUCCCUUUAAUAACUAAUGACCCAUUUCUUGUACACUAUUGUGUGAGGUAUCAUUGAACUGAGCAGAGAGUUCCCUUUUCAUUGGUGAUGAUUUACAGUGUCUGAGUGCCAUGGUAAUGCAA